CGUUCCCGGGUCUUGUACACACCGCCCGUCAAACCAUGGGAGUCGAUUGCUCCAGAAGUCAUCUCACCAAGAGGUGCCCAAGGAGUGGUCGGUAACUGGGGUG
rnacentral:rRNA from 1 species